rnacentral:rRNA from 1 species
CACAUGCAAGUCGAACGGAAAGGCCUGGUGCUUGCACUGGGUACUCGAGUGGCGAACGGGUGAGUAACACGUGGGUGAUCUGCCCUCAACUUUGGGAUAAGCCUGGGAAACUGGGUCUAAUACCGGAUAGGAACAAUCUUUAGUGUGGUUGUUGGAAAGCUUUUGCGGUUGGGGAUGAGCUCGCGGCCUAUCAGCUUGUUGGUGGGGUAAUGGCCUCCCAAGGCGUCGACGGGUAGCCGGCCUGAGAGGGUGUACGGCCACAUUGGGACUGAGAUACGGCCCAGACUCCUACGGGAGGCAGCAGUGGGGAAUAUUGCACAAUGGGCGGAAGCCUGAUGCAGCGACGCCGCGUGGGGGAUGAAGGCCUUCGGGUUGUAAACUCCUUUCGACAGGGACGAAGCUUUUGUGACGGUACCUGUAUAAGAAGCACCGGCUAACUACGUGCCAGCAGCCGCGGUAAUACGUAGGGUGCGAGCGUUGUCCGGAAUUACUGGGCGUAAAGAGCUCGUAGGUGGUUUGUCGCGUCGUCUGUGAAAUUCCGGGGCUUAACUCCGGGCGUGCAGGCGAUAC